rnacentral:tRNA from 1 species
GCGGGAGUAGUUCAGUGGCAGAACGGUAGCUUCCCAAGCUACUAGCGGCGGUUCUAUUCCGCUCUCCCGCU